UCCGGUGUGGUGUAUCGGUUAUCAUUCCGCGUUUUCAUCACUGAAAAUCCGCGGCGAGGAGGGUUCGACUCCCUCCAUCGGAG